GCUCCGGUGGCCUAGUGGUUAGAACGUCUGUCUCAAAUGCAGAAGAUCGUGGGUUCGAUUCCCGGUCGAGUCA